UACAGAGGUCUCAACCGUUGUUCGGAUUCAUUGGGCGUAAAGGGUGCGUAGGCGGCGGGGUAAGUCAGGUGUGAAAUCGUCGGGGCUCAACCCCGAAACUGCAUUCGAUACUGGCGUGCUUGAGGACUGGAGAGGAGACUGGAAUUCAUGGUGUAGCAGUGAAAUGCGUAGAGAUCAUGAGGAAGACCAGUGGCGAAGGCGGGUCUCUGGACAGUUCCUGACACUGAGACACGAAGGCCAGGGGAGCAAACGGG
rnacentral:rRNA from 1 species